GAGACCGGAGAAAUCUUGCGCGAAUCUGCCAGCACCAUCUGGUAAGGCUAAAUACUACUGAGAGACCGAUAGCGAAUGAGUACCGUGAGGGAAAGGUGAAAAGUACCCCAAACAGGGGAGUGAAAUAGAACCUGAAACCGUGCGCCUACAAGCGGUCGAAGCUCCGAUGUUUAUCGGAGUGACGGCGUGCCUUUUGCAUAAUGAGCCUACAAGUUACGCCUCUCUGGCAAGGUUAAUUCCGUUAACGGAUGGAGCCGAAGCGAAAGCAAGUCCUAAUAGGGCGCUGAGUCAGAGGGGGUAGACGCGAAACUUUGUGAUCUACCCAUGGCCAGGCUGAAGUCCCGGUAACACGGGAUGGAGGGCCGAACCGGUAAACGUUGAAACGUCUUCGGAUGAGCUGUGGGUAGGGGUGAAAGGCUAAUCAAACUGAGAGAUAGCUCGUACUCCCCGAAAUGUUUUUAGGAACAGCCUGGGGUCUACUGUCUUAGAGGUAGAGCUACUGAUUGGAUGAGGGGGUCUCACCGCCUGCCAAAUCCUGAUAAACUCCGAAUGCUAAGACAUAAUACCCUGGAGUGAGGCCGUGGGUGCUAAGGUCCAUGGCCGAGAGGGAAACAACCCAGACCAUCAGCUAAGGUCCCUAAAUGUAUGUUCAGUUGUUCUAACGAGGUCUGACUGCAUUGACAGCUAGGAUGUUGGCUUGGAAGCAGCCAUUCAUUUAAAGAGUGCGUAACAGCUCACUAGUCGAGCGGUCAGGCGUGGAUAAUAAACGGGCAUAAACAUACUACCGAAGCUAUGAACUGCCGAUAAAAUCGGCAGUGGUAGGGGAGCAUUCCAGUCUGCACCGAAGUCCCGAUGUAAAUCGAGAUGGAGCGUCUGGAAAAGAAAAUGUAGGCAUAAGUAACGAUAAUCCCGGUGAAAAACCGGGACACCGAAAGACUAAGGUUUCCUGAUCAACGCUAAUCGGAUCAGGGUUAGUCGGGACCUAAGGCGUACCCAAACGGGAUAGCUAAUGGAUAUCAGGUUAAUAUUCCUGUACUUCCUUACAGUGCAAGGUAGGGACGUGAACAUCAGGUGCUUACGUACUGACGGAAUAGUGCGUCGAGCCUAGCCUUUGGGCGAAGCAAAAGCAAGUAGUGUCCACCAAGAAAAGCUACCAAAGCUUCAGCUGUAAGGAACUCGUACCGCAAACCAACACAGGUAGUCGAGGAGAGUAUCCACAGGUGCUCGAGUGAUUCAUGGCUAAGGAACUAGGCAAAUUGACCCUGUAACUUCGGAAGAAAGGGUCCCCGACUACGGUCGGGGCGCAGAGAAAUGGCCCAGGCGACUGUUUAACAAAAACACAUGGCUUUGCUAAAUCGAAAGAUGACGUAUAAGGCCUGACACCUGCCCGGUGCUGGAAGGUUAAGGGGAGAGGUUAUCCCGACUCGUCGGGAGAAGCUUCAAACUGAAGCCCCAGUAAACGGCGGCCGUAACUAUAACGGUCCUAAGGUAGCGAAAUUCCUUGUCGGGUAAGUUCCGACCUGCACGAAUGGUGUAACGAUCUGGGCACUGUCUCAGCCAUGAGCUCGGUGAAAUUGUAGUAGCGGUGAAGAUGCCGCUUACCCGCAACGGGACGGAAAGACCCCGUGAACCUUUACUAUAGCUUAACAUUGACUCUGGAUAAAUGAUGUGUAGGAUAGGUGGGAGACUGUGAAGUCCCAACGCCAGUUGGGAUGGAGUCAACCUUGAAAUACCACCCUUCGUUUAUUCGGAGCCUAAUCCCCUCUAUCGCGGGAAACAGUGUUUGGUGGGUAGUUUGACUGGGGUGGUCGCCUCCAAAAACGUAACGGAGGCUCUCAAAGGUACCCUCAGCACGCUUGGUAACCGUGCGUAGAGUGCAAUGGCAUAAGGGUGCUUGACUGCGAGACUUACUAGUCGAACAGGUAGGAAACUAGGACAUAGUGAUCCGGUGGUCCCAUAUGGAAGGGCCAUCGCUCAAAGGAUAAAAGGUACUCCGGGGAUAACAGGCUGA
rnacentral:rRNA from 1 species